rnacentral:tRNA from 1 species
GGGGAUGUGGCUCAAGCGGUAGCGUGCUCACCUGGCAUGUGCGGGGUGCUGGGUUCUAUCCUCAGCACCACA